rnacentral:rRNA from 1 species
GACGAACGCUGGCGGCGUGCUUAACACAUGCAAGUCGAACGGAAAGGCCCUGCUUUUGUGGGGUGCUCGAGUGGCGAACGGGUGAGUAACACGUGAGUAACCUGCCCUUGACUUUGGAUAACUUCAGGAAACUGGGGCUAAUACCGGAUAGGAGCUCCUGCUGCAUGGUGGGGGUUGGAAAGUUUCGGCGGUUGGGGAUGGACUCGCGGCUUAUCAGCUUGUCGGUGGGGUAGUGGCUCACCAAGGCUUUGACGGGUAGCCGGCCUGAGAGGGUGACCGGCCACAUUGGGACUGAGAUACGGCCCAGACUCCUACGGGAGGCAGCAGUGGGGAAUAUUGCACAAUGGGCGGAAGCCUGAUGCAGCAACGCCGCGUGCGGGAUGACGGCCUUCGGGUUGUAAACCGCUUUCGCCUGUGACGAAGCGUGAGUGACGGUAAUGGGUAAAGAAGCACCGGCUAACUACGUGCCAGCCGCCGCCGUAACAC